AGUGACAGUCACCCCUUCCCUCACUCUGUCACUAGUCACUCACUCUGUCACCUGUCACUCCCUCACUCUGUCACUAGAGUGAGGGGAUGACUAGUGACAGAGUGAGGGAAGGGGUGACUAGUGGCAGAGUGAGGGAAGGGGUGACUAGUGGCAGAGUGAGGGAAGGAAGGGGUGACUAGUGACAGAGUGAGGGAGGUGGUGACUGUCACUAGUCACCACCUCCCUCACUGUCACUACUCCCUCCCUCCUUCUGUCACAUGUCAUCCCCUCCCUCACUCUGUCACCAGUCAUCCCCUUCCCUCACUCUGUCACCCCCUCACUCUAGUGACAGAGAGAGGGAGGGGGUGACUAGUGACAGUCACCACCUCCUUCACUCUGUCACUAGUCACCCCCUCCCUCUCUCUGUCACUAGUCACCCCCUCUCUCACUCUGUCACUAGUCACCCCCUUCCUCACUCUGUCACUAAGGA